UGAGCAUCUGUGCCUGCAGGGUCCUGGGAACAGGGUGACUGGGGCUCUGGUCCAGCCUUUGAGGCCCAUUGCUGUCCUGUCAGCCAUCUCAUUCGUCUGUGAGCACGGCAGGGAGUGGCACAGCCUCCUUGGUUCUGCCAACCCUGCCAGGAAGGGACAUCAGCAAGGAACAAUAACAUUUUCAGUUCUCAGGUGAAGCGCCAAGUAUGUCACUGAAAGCCCAGUGGAGUUAAGUGUGCAAAGUCAGUCUGAACAUAUGCUGUAAUGGAUUUGACCUCGAAUAGCACUACAAAGAGAAAUUGCAGAUAACCAUCUGAACUGACUUCUGAAGCUUGUAGUUCUGGCUCCUGAGAUACAGAGAGAAAAGUGAGACCAAACAGGUGGGAGCAAACAACUCAGAGAGACCAGAAUGAAUACGAGUCUAACUUUAAA
rnacentral:lncRNA from 1 species